rnacentral:lncRNA from 1 species
CUUGGGCCACUCCCGUGGCAUAUGGAGGGUCCCAGGCUAGUGGUCUAAUCGGAGCUGCAGCUGCCAGCCUAUACCACAGCCACAGCAACGCGGGAUCCGAGCCGAGUCUGCAACCUACACCACAGUUCACGGCAACGCCGGACUGUUAACCCACUGAGCAAGGGCAGGGACCGAACCCGCAACCUCAUGGUUCCUAGUCGGAUUCGUUAACCACUGCGCCACGACGGGAACUCCUAUAGGAGUGGCCAGCUUGCUGGAGAAUAACAUCAAUUUCAAAUUCUUGGCUUGGGUAUAGAAUUCAUAGGCCGGCCACUUCUUCCAUUUGGCUGAGACAAAAUCAAGUCCAUCGGAUGGUGGCUUUGCAUGUCCAUACUUGUCAGCGUGACCAAAGCACAGCCUUAAGGGAGCAAAGGCUACAGCAAGAUGAAGAAGUUCAAACUCAAAAGUGAGAUUCACUGGUUUCAAGGAAUUUUUUUUUUUUUAAAUGAGACUCUCAUUCCUUAAAGACAUACCCUCAACUGAAAAUACACACGCCAAAACCAAAACAACCCAAAAAAACCCCACCAUGAAUUACUCUUUCACCAAAUUCCUACAAAACCACGGUGGAUCAGCCUAUUCAUAAGAAAAUGACGUCUUCCACAGCAUGUAUCUCAAGCAAAAACUAAGCUGGGCAAAUAGUCAAGCCUAUUUUCUUUACUGUUCUAGGACAUUUCAUGGUGUCUAUUUCUCAGUAUUGGGUUUCUAAUUAAACUGGAUUUGCUUAGGUUUGUUUGAAAUGGUAUGUAUAUACAUUUAGCUAUUAAUAAGUAUAACAAUAUACUUGUAGUAAGUUCAUUAUAUACUUAUAUGAUAUACAUAGAAUAUGUUAUUAACUCAUCAGUAAGUAUAAGAAAUCAUCGGCUGACUGUGGCCCCAAGUUGUCCCAGAGGGGAUUUGAAUUUUUGGGGGGUGUACACCACAGCAAUUUAUAAUUUUUAAGGGUUAUACUCCAUUUAUAGUUAUAUUGGCUGUAUUUCCUAUGAUUUACAAUACAUCCUUGUAGUUUAUUUAAUUUUUGCUUUUUAGGGCCACACCUACGGCAUAUGGAAGUUCCCAGGCUAGGGGUUGAAUGGGAGCUACAGCUGCCAGCCUACACCACAGCCACAGCAACUCGGGAUUUGAGCUGCAUCUGCAACCAACACCACAGCUCACAGUAACACUGGAUCCCCGACCCACUGAGCGAGGUCAGGGAUCAAACUCACAUCCUCAUGGAUACUCAUUGGAUUUUUUUCCACUGUAGCACAACAGGGAACUCCUAUUUUAUACUUAGUGGUUUGUACCUCUUAAUCCCCUACCCCUGUUGCCCUCCUUCCCUCUCCCUGGUAACCACUAGUUUAUUCUUGGUAUCUGUUUUGUUUUUUUUUUAAAUAUUCACUCAUUUGUUGUAUUUUUCAGAUUCCACAUAUAAGUGAUAUCACAUAGCAUUUGUCUUUCUCUGACUUAUAUCACUUAGCAUAAUGCCCUCUAAGUCCAUCCAUGUUGUUACAAAUGGCAACAUUUCCUUCUUAGGAGGCACAUGGGGGUUUAAUAAACCUACUGAGGAUAAAGCUCAGCAGCUGUUCCAUGCCCUAAGCAAGUUGUCUGCUGAUUUCUUAGCAUGAACAAUUAAACCUGAAAAUAAACUUUUUAUUAAAUGCAAAGCUAGAGUUAUUAAAAGUGGCAUAUACUGGGCUAUGACUUCACUGAUAAUUGAAUUAGUACACUGUCAUUUUUCUUUACUUUGCCUCAAUGUGUUCUUCAUUAAAGUGAAAAAAAUAACAAUUUUUAAAAAAGCAUAUUAUCCUUAAUCCAUUGCAUUAGCCUAGUUAUUAGUUAAAUCAUUGUUGGAAGGAAAAGUGGUCCCACUGCUGUUCUUCUAUUAAAUGACUAUAACUUUAAAUGAGCUGUAGCUAACGGAAGAGAGCUCAGACUGUCUUCUGAAACUGUAGCAGUUGCAAGAAAACAAAAAUACAGAAGUUCCAAUUACUUCCUAAUGUUCACUUCACAUAUCAUAUAUGAAAUCAAAUUCCAGAAAUUAUAAUGUCCAUUCCUGUGAAAUGGCUGCAAAUUCAACCUGGUUUUAAAAUUUUGUGUUGAAGAAAGAUUUUUUUUUUAAAAAAAAGAACUUAAAAUCUUUACCAAGCACCUGGUAGGUCUACUGAUGUUGUUUUUAGUUCUACUGACAAGCUCUAUAAAACACAGGUGCUUAGGAGUUCCCGUUGCGGCUCAGCAGUUAACGAACACGACUAGGAUUCAUGAGGAUGUGGAUUCGAUCCCUGGCCUCGUUCAGUGGGUUAAAGAUCUGGCGUUGCUGUGAGCUGUGGUAUAGGUUGCAGAAGCUGCUUGGAUCUGGUGUGUCUGUGACUGUGGUGUAGGCCAGCAGCUGUAGUUCUGAUUGGACCCCUUGCCUGGGAACCUCCAUAUGCCGCGGGUGUGGCCCUAGAAAAAUUAAAAAUAAAACAUAGGUGCUUAAAGUUGUUUUGUUUUUAAACAUUCUCACUCUAAGAUGGCACAAACUGUUAAGAAAGUAAUAUACUAAAACUAGGUAUUUGUAUUGCCAACCCAUAAUCCUGAAUAUCUUUUAUUCAGAACAUAGCUUGUGUAGCUUCCACUUGGUUCCUUAUUCAUUUUCUCCUUUCACUUUAUUAAAAUAAAUCAGUAAAACUAUCCACAAUUUAAGACAACAGCAAGGCCUAUAAAUGCAGGUUUCGGAUUCAAAUUUCUCUGGGAAAUGUUUUCCUUCCAAUUCUCUCUGCCCUGGGAUUUCAUGUUUUCCCUUUUAUUGGUGGCAUCCAAUACCUCCAAUUUUUAACAUUUUCAGACAUGUGUUUCUCUGUAGGUUAAAAGGAAGGAAGUUUAUUCAAACAGCUAAUUCCCAAGUUUAAAGUUCUCAUAUAAUGUAGUUUUUGCUCACGUCUCAAUGACAUAAUUCCCUAAGCUUAAACCAUCAAACAUGAUUACCUCUCUUUGUGCAAAAAGCCACAUACUACAAAUAGUUUUUGUCACAAAACGGUAUUCAUGUAUAAAAGAAAGAAUAGAUACAAGAUUUUACUUAUAAAAGAUUGCUAAAAUAUGUAGCUCCCUUAUAAUCAUAUACUGUUGAACUGCUCCAACUGACUAGUUCUCAACACCAUUUUCUCAGCAAACUUUGCUUUCUCUCUUCCUGCUAAGCAGAAACCUUAAAAAACAGAUCAGAAGCAUUUUAAUGAAGUAGAUGAAAACAGCCAAAAGUUCUUGAAGCCCUACAGAAAAACUGUAGAUGUGAUCAGGCCCUGACAUGUCACGUCUUCUGUACCCUCAUCGUCUCUCCUGCCCUAUUUCACAUACUCUGGUAAGUCGGUUCCUCUGGCUACUGGAUACGACCUGAGAUUUAAAAAGCAAAAACGCUGUCAUAAUACGCUUUGUAAAAUCUUGAAUGUCGUAAAGGAAGUGGAAGAGGCAUUUACCUACAGUGUGAUUUGGUUUUUGCCAUAAAAAAGCAAAUUUAAACCUGAGAAGUAAAGAGCCCAUUGACUGCAUUCACUUACAGGAGAACAAGACUUCCUGACAGAAGUUCAAAUGCACCCUACCCCGUGGGCUGGGGAGUGUUAUACACCCCACACUGUCUUGGGGUGAAGCAGGAUUAUGGCUACGACAAUACUCCACAGUGGCCAGAUGCCACAAGUACAGUCAGUAGCAACGGAGUCAUUUCUAAGUCAGCUACAGAAAGUAACCCCAAAUAUCACUUCCCUAGAAAUACUGGCCAGUGCUCUAUCGGGAAAAUAGAUUUUGAAGAAUGACCCAUAAAACUUCAAAAUUGAGACCCCAUUCCUUAUCAUUCAAUAGGAAAUUUAAAAAAGAAAACCGAAAGGAUUUCGCUUUCCUAACGCAUGGCUACUCCUCUGCUUGGUUGUUCUUAAAAAUAAUUUAUGUAAAGCAGGAUUUUCUCUAAAUAUACCGUGCUCUCUCAUACACAUUGCAAAUGAUAUUUGCAUACACCGAGUGUAUGCACUGAUACACACAUGGUAAAAAGUUAAAAAAUAUAGACUGCAUAAAUCAGAAGCUGAUUUUAAACAGACACCAACUUCAACAGAUUUGUUUGCAAUUUCUGAACUCUUCAGGUAGAAAAGAUCUUUCUUGCUGGCUACGAUUGUAGAAGAUGUUUAUGUUCUAUAGAGUGUGCAAAAAUGCUUCUCCAUAUAAACAAAGAAAGAAAGGUUCCAGGAUCUUGGUAUUCUAACCUUGCCUUUGCUAUUAAAUAUCCAUCCAAUGACUGUGAGGAGACUGGUGAAAUCAGCCGGUCAUGCUACAGUAAACAUGGUAUUUUGUGCACUGCCCAAGACAUUUUUUCUCAUGAAUAUAAGUCACCUGCCAUUUAUUAUGAGAUUUUUUUUUCCCCGACUGACACCCCAUUAUGUAUAUUCAGUCAAGCUCAAACAAGAUUUCAAGUGAUCAAUACACUAUUGGUGCUGAAAGUCUAUUAGCCACUCUAGCAAUAAACUCUGCAGCGAAACGAAGAAUGGAGAAAUAUUUAGUGAACUGAAUUACACAGAAGUCCAUGUUUAGGGGCAAGGGAACAGAAAGAGGGAGGCAGAAAAGCAAGGGGAAGACAAGGGAAGGAAGACAUUUUUCCUAAUAAAAAUCAGCUUUCUGGAGCCUGACCAAUGAUCAAAUGCAUUAAAUGCCUAAGAAUUGUUUCAAAAAUAUCUUAAAUUACAUGGUGAGGUCUCUAAAGAAACAGGGAGGGGUCUUCCUCUGGGUCCCUUUCUGAGAACAGAGAGUUGCUUCCAUAAAGAACCAUACGUGGAAGUAUUUGAUAUCCCAAAGUGGAGAAGGCAGGCCGAUGGUAAAAUCCUGCACCAUCCAGUGUCUAUGUGUCCAAGAGCAAUGCCGUGUUUGAACACUUUUCACUUUAUAUCUGAAGCGUAGCAGAUCUCAACAGGGAGCUGAGCUCAAGAAGUAUUCUGGUUCAUCUAUGCAUUAGGAAAGCUAACUCAAUAGCCGCCAAAGGAUUUCACCUGGCACAAAAGAAUGCUGCU